AGGACUCCUCAGCUCAGCUUCUCAAAAUGAGGCUCCCUGCUCAGCUCCUGGGGCUGCUGCUGCUCUGGAUCCCUGGUGAGGACAGAGAGGAUGGGGAGGGAGAAGGGGGAGGAAGGGGAGCCCUGGACCCCCAUUUUGCCCAUGUGUUCUCUGUCCACAUCAGGGAUGUGCAGGUCUCUCCUCCAGAAUUUGCCUGCACUCUUUAGAUCGGUGUGAGACAAAAACAUCCCAGAAUGAACAAGAAUUUUGGUACGAUAAAAAUUGUCACAGGAAAAUAGAGGGAAGUUGGUAAAUUCUUCACAGUCACUUGUGGCUUAGAACACUUGAUUCUUUUCUAAAAAGUAAAUAUUUUGGCCACACAAAUCAAAAUCACAAACAUUAUUUCUAUGGAAAUAUACAAAGUAAUAUAAAUGUGUCUCAUAAUACUUGACAAAAACUUUAUUUUUCUGUUUUUCCAGGAACCAGUGGGGAUAUUGUGAUGACCCAGACUCCUCUCUCUCAGCCUAUCACCCCUGGACAGUCAGUCUCCCUCUCCUGCAGGUCUAGUCAAAGCCUCCUACACAGUAACGGAAACACCUAUUUGUAUUGGAUUGUGCACAAGCCAGGCCAAGCUCCACAGGGCCUAAUAUAUUUGGUUUCCAACCGGUACACUGGGG
rnacentral:lncRNA from 1 species